UUAAAUAAAUUUGAUUUGGCCAUCAUUAUAGCCCUUUGUUGUUGUCUUUUGAUGAGGAUUCUAGGAAAUUGGCUUGCUGGCAUGCACGGCUUACCGGCAGGGAGAGCAAACUGGAAUUUGCAAGCACAAGUGUUCCUACCAGAGAUCUAAUUCAAGAAGUUAUGUUCUCCAAUUGAGAGAAGAAAAAAGUUUUUUUUAGGGUUGAGUUUUUUGUGUAUGCCUUUGUUGAUUUCUCUCCAGGUGGGAGCAGGCACAGCAGGCUGGAGGAGAGAUGCAUGUGCUCAUCCCCAGCACACCUGGUUCCCUGCUGAGGUCUGCCUAGGAGCUGCCACUAGGGAAGUCUGCUUGAAAGCUAAUUUUCAACUCCAUCCUUUCAUGUGCUUUACGGGAGAUUAAAAUGAAAUUAGUUCAGGAAGGAUACUGCUCAAGAUCAUUUUAAGAUUUUCCAAAGCUCACCAGCUUGUUGACCUGUAAACCACCUUUAGCUGGACAGAUGAUGAGCCUCAAGACAAGAACAGCGUUUUCUGACCAAGCAAUUCAAUCAUUUAUAUGCCCUUUCCUUCCAAUAAUGUGCUCCCAGGGAAAGUAUCCACCAUACCUGCAGUGCUCUGGCCAAAUUCCAGUUCGGGUAAUUAUGUUCUGCCUGUCUAAACUCUGCCUGGAGUUUCAUUUGGAGGAAGCAUUGUUUGCUCCCUGCUCAUUGUUGUGGGCACACGGAUCAGGUGCUGGGCUCAUCUCUGCAGGGGCUGGCUGGGCUCCAGCCCUGGAUGAAGCGAGAUGCAAGAGCAGAGCAGCUUGUGCUAAAUUUGCAAAGCGUCAGGAGAUCUUUGGAGUGAGAGGUGCUGUGUUAAUGGGAGGUCACCGGUGCUAUCUGGGGUGCAAAUGCAUCCCUGCUCAGAAGCUUUAUGGGGAAAAAAACCCAACCAACCAACCAACCAACAACAACAACAACAACAAAAAAAAACAAAAAAAAAACAAAAAAAAAAAACAGAAAAAGCUCUCUUGA
rnacentral:lncRNA from 1 species